rnacentral:rRNA from 1 species
AUGUUCUGCUGCCACCAGGUGCAUGCAGGGUUUGCCAGGUAUAGGCCGUGCGACAGCCGUCACCGGAUCCAAGAAUUGCAAGCUUCUUUCUGCCAGACCGAGCGGACACGAGGAUGUUUGUGCGGCGGUGUGCAUGGCCACACGUGUGCCAUGAACUGCAGCACACAUGGACUUGGCCCCCGUCCUGACGUGUGCCCUCGCCGUGAGCACGUUGCACAGAUGGUUUCGUCUCCAUCUGUCCAAGUGUCAUGUUCCAUGCUGCGAAAUUUGUUUACAGGCGACGUAGAAACAAACAAGAAUCCAGAUCUUUCUAGUGUAUAA